rnacentral:lncRNA from 1 species
AGCUCCUUGGUGUGUUUGAUGUUUUAAAGACCUAUCAGUGACAACGCAGCAAUACAGAAGAGUCUCUCAGACUACAAAGGAAUCUGGAAGGAUUUGAUAGCUGAGGCUUUUCUUGUCGCAAGAACAAAGGGUGCUGUGUAUGGAAUUAAAGAAUAACAGGAGCUGGCAGAAAGGUGCGUGGGCUCAUGUCCCAGGCCUAUGCAGUGCUGGACCUUGGUGACUGUGGAAGGAUGUGACUGUGGAAGGAUGGAGCAGAGCAGUGCUGACCCCAUUGCAGGGACAACACUGUAUCUCUGGGGCUCUUUGGCGUUGGUUCCCUCUCACCAAGCACGGGUCCGUAUUGUGGAGACAAUGAAGAUAGAAGCAAAGGGUGAACGUGGAGACCAACUUCUCCCAUUUCAGGUUGUGCCUUCCAGUAAUUUUCAUAGAAUCACAGAAUGGUUUGAGUUGGAAGGGACCUCUGAAUGCCGUCUGGUCCCACUGCCUGCACUGAGCAGGGACACCCACAGCUCCAUCAGUGCUCAGAGCCCCAUCCAGCCUGACUGUGGGUGUGUGCAGGGAUGGGGCACCGCUACCUCUCUGGGCACCCCGUGCCAUUCCUCACCAUCCUCAGUGUAUUACUGUGCCCUUAUUUUGGGGAUGUUUUCCAGGAAAGCACUGCCUGUCGCUGCCAACCUGGUAGCUCCUCUUCUGCCCUGCUGGGGCUGUUGGCUUACAAUCAACUUCAUGUGGAAAUUAUUUUUAACAAAUAUUUCUUAUGGAAAUAUUCUAUUUACAGCAUGUGCUAAAAGCAUAAAACGUGAGAAGGCAGAUUUGGGCACUGUAUUAUUAUUAUUUUUUUUUCCUCAAGGACUCAGGGAAUAUUUUGCACAGAUAUUUUAAACAGCUGUUAUAUUUAGCAAGUCUAAGCUUGAUACGAGAAGUAAAUAAAUCAAAGCAGCAAACACAACAGAAGAAAAAGAGAAGCCACAAUGCAGGUUUUGAGCCUGUCCAAAACGCGUGGGUUUGGAAUACAUUUGUAUUUGGAAAUGCAGCAUCUCGGAAGCAGUGCAGGUGGGUGAAGGGUUUGAAGCAUUGUGCUGCUCUAACACAGCACUGAAAGCUGAUAAGGAUGGAAAAUGGUGUUUUUCUGGAGGUUAAUUGGAAUUUAAGUGGAAUGGACCUCAGAAGCAUCACAGUGUGCUGAUGCUGCUCUGGGAUUUGUAGUCAAAUAGCCUUUGUAGUCCUUGUGUUGUCCUGGUGGGUUUCUCCAAUCUGGGCAACUGAGAGCCUGUGGCUACAAGAUACCAACCUAAGGUGUUUGGAAGAUGCCCUGCAGGGCUGUUAUGGGGAUAGCAGCGCCUUGCAAGUCACUUCUCAACAGAAGGCCGAGGAGAUGAGGUGUGGACAUCAGAGCACAGGGCAGGACGGAGGCUGAGCACAGCAGAACUGA